CAUGCAGUCGUACGCUGUCCGGGGUUUCGGCCCGGGGCGGAGUGGCGAACGGGUGCGUAACACGUGAGCAACCUGCCCGGAUGUGGGGGAUAACCGGGGGAAACCCCGGCUAAUACCGCAUGGGCUUCUCUUCUGAAUGGGGGGGGAGUAAAAGGCGCUUCCUGCGAAGGGGGCGCUGUGUCCGGAGGGGCUCGCGGCGUAUCAGCUAGCUGGUGGGGUAACGGCUCACCAGGGCAACGACGCGUAGCUGAUCAGAGAGGAUGAUCAGCCACAUUGGGACUGAGAUACGGCCCAGACUCCUACGGGAGGCAGCAGUGGGGAAUCUUGCGCAAUGGUCGAAAGACUGACGCAGCGACGCCGCGUGCGGGAGGACGCUUUUCGGAGUGUAAACCGCUGUCAGGUGGGACGAAGCGCACGGGGAGGAAAUGCCCUGUGUCUGACGGUACCGCCAGAGGAAGCACCGGCUAACUCCGUGCCAGCAGCCGCGGUAAUACGGAGGGUGCGAGCGUUGUUCGGAAUUACUGGGCGUAAAGCGCGCGUAGGCGGCCAUUUAAGUCUAUCUGUGAAAUGCCGGGGCUCAACCCCGUGCCCGCAGGAGAUACUGGAUGGCUGGAGACAUGCAGGGGCAGAUGGAAUUCCGGGUGUAGCGGUGGAAUGCGUAGAGAUCCGGAAGAACACUCGGUGGCGAAGCGGUCUGCUGGGCAUGAUCUGACGCUGAGC
rnacentral:rRNA from 1 species